rnacentral:rRNA from 1 species
UACGUAGGGAGCGAGCGUUGUCCGGAAUUAUUGGGCGUAAAGCGCGUGUAGGCGGCUCGGUAAGUCUGCUGUGAAAGUCCAGGGCUCAACCCUGGAAUGCCGGUGGAUACUGUCGAGCUCGAGUCCGGAAGAGGCGAGUGGAAUUCCUGGUGUAGCGGUGAAAUGCGCAGAUAUCAGGAGGAACACCAAUGGCGAAGGCAGCUCGCUGGGACGUGACUGACGCUGAGACGCGAAAGCGUGGGGAGCAAACAGG